GACGAACCGUGCGAACGUUGUUCGGAAUCACUGGGCUUAAAGGGCGCGUAGGCGGGCUGUCAAGUCUGGGGUGAAAUGCCGCGGCUCAACCGUGGAACUGCCUUAGAUACUGACGGCCUCGAGGGAGAUAGGGGCAUGCGGAACUGUAGGUGGAGCGGUGAAAUGCGUUGAUAUCUACAGGAACUCCGGUGGCGAAAGCGGCAUGCUGGAUCUCUUCUGACGCUGAGGCGCGAAAGCUAGGGGAGCAAACGGG
rnacentral:rRNA from 1 species